UGGGGAAUUUUGGACAAUGGGCGAAAGCCUGAUCCAGCAAUGCCGCGUGUGUGAAGAAGGCCUUCGGGUUGUAAAGCACUUUUGUCCGGAAAGAAAUCCUUGGCUCUAAUACAGUCGGGGGAUGACGGUACCGGAAGAAUAAGCACCGGCUAACUACGUGCCAGCAGCCGCGGUAAUACGUAGGGUGCAAGCGUUAAUCGGAAUUACUGGGCGUAAAGCGUGCGCAGGCGGUUUGCUAAGACCGAUGUGAAAAUCCCCGGGCUCAACCUGGGAACUGCAUUGGUGACUGGCAGGCUAGAGUAUGGCAGAGGGGGGUAGAAUUCCACGUGUAGCAGUGAAAAUGCGUAGAGAUGUGGAGGAAUACCGAUGGCGAAGGCAGCCCCCUGGGCAAGUACUGACGCUCAUGCACGAAAAGCGUGGGGGAGCAAAACAGGAUUAGAUACCCUGGUAGUCCACG
rnacentral:rRNA from 1 species